rnacentral:rRNA from 1 species
GAUGAACGCUGGCGGCGUGCCUAAUACAUGCAAGUCGUGCGAACAGACGAGGAGCUUGCUCCUCUGACGUUAGCGGCGGACGGGUGAGUAACACGUGGAUAACCUACCUAUAAGACUGGGAUAACUUCGGGAAACCGGAGCUAAUACCGGAUAAUAUAUUGAACCGCAUGGUUCAAUAGUGAAAGACGGUUUUGCUGUCACUUAUAGAUGGAUCCGCGCCGCAUUAGCUAGUUGGUAAGGUAACGGCUUACCAAGGAAACGAUGCGUAGCCGACCUGAGAGGGUGAUCGGCCACACUGGAACUGAGACACGGUCCAGACUCCUACGGGAGGCAGCAGUAGGGAAUCUUCCGCAAUGGGCGAAAGCUUGACGGAGCAACGCCGCGUGAGUGAUGAAGGUCUUCGGAUCGUAAAACUCUGUUAUUAGGGAAGAACAAAUGUGUAAGUAACUAUGCACGUCUUGACGGUACCUAAUCAGAAAGCCACGGCUAACUACGU